UACGUAGGGGGCUAGCGUUGUCCGGAAUCAUUGGGCGUAAAGCGCUCGCAGGUGGCCCGAUGCGUCGUGCGUGAAAGCCCCCGGCUCAACUGGGGAGUGUCGUGCGAUACGGUCGGGCUGGAGGCCAGUAGGGGGAUGCGGAAUUCCGGGUGUAGUGGUGGAAUGCGUAGAGAUCCGGAGGAACACCAGCGGCGAAGGCGGCAUCCUGGACUGGUCCUGACACUCAGGAGCGAAAGCGUGGGGAGCGAUCCGG
rnacentral:rRNA from 1 species